rnacentral:tRNA from 1 species
GCAGGUAUAGCUCAGUGGCAGAGCGCGUGCUUAGCAUGCAUGAGGUCCGGGGUUCACCCCCUCAGUACUUCCA